rnacentral:rRNA from 1 species
UACGUAGGUGGCAAGCGUUGUCCGGAAUUAUUGGGCGUAAAGCGCGCGCAGGCGGCCUCUUAAGUCUGAUGUGAAAGCCCCCGGCUCAACCGGGGAGGGCCAUUGGAAACUGGGAGGCUUGAGUAUAGGAGAGAAGAGUGGAAUUCCACGUGUAGCGGUGAAAUGCGUAGAGAUGUGGAGGAACACCAGUGGCGAAGGCGACUCUUUGGCCUAUAACUGACGCUGAGGCGCGAAAGCGUGGGAGCAAACAGG